UACGUAGGGGGCAAGCGUUGUCCGGAUUUAUUGGAGCGUAAAGAGCGGUGUAGGCGGCCCAGUAAGUCCGCUGUGAAAGUCAAAGGCUCAACCUUUGAAUGUCAGCGGAUACUGCUGGGCUAGAGUCCGGAAGAGGCGAGUGGGAAUUCCUGGUGUAGCGGUGGAAUGCGCAGAUAUCAGGAGGAACACCAACGGCGAAGGCAGCUCGCUAGGACGGUACUGACGCUGAGACGCGAAAGCGUGGGGAGCGAACAGG
rnacentral:rRNA from 1 species